GAUGAAGAACGCAGCGAAAUGCGAUACUUGGUGUGAAUUGCAGAAUCCCGUGAACCAUCGAGUCUUUGAACGCAAGUUGCGCCCGAAGCCAUUAGGCCGAGGGCACGCCUGCCUGGGUGUCACACGUCGUUGCCCCCCCAUCUACUCCUUCGGGAUUGCGGGGGGCGGAUGAUGGCCUCCUGUGCGCCUCGUCGCGCGGUUGGCAUAAAUGCCAAGUCCUCGGCGACGCACGCCACGACAAUCGGUGGUUGCGAAACCUCGGUUGCCCGUCGUGUGCGGUCGUCGCGCAUCGAGGGCUCGAAAAAAUUGCCGGGCUCCGGCUCGGCUUUCAACGCGACCCCAGGUCAGGCGGGGUUACCCGCUGAAUUUAAGCAUAUCAAUAAGCGGAGA
rnacentral:misc_RNA from 1 species